ACAAUGGAGAGUUUGAUCCUGGCUCAGGAUGAACGCUAGCGGGAGGCCUAACACAUGCAAGCCGAGCGGUAGAGAUUCUUCGGAAUCUUGAGAGCGGCGUACGGGUGCGGAACACGUGUGCAACCUGCCUUUAUCAGGGGGAUAGCCUUUCGAAAGGAAGAUUAAUACCCCAUAAUAUAUUGAAUGGCAUCAUUUAAUAUUGAAAACUCCGGUGGAUAGAGAUGGGCACGCGCAAGAUUAGAUAGUUGGUGAGGUAACGGCUCACCAAGUCUACGAUCUUUAGGGGGCCUGAGAGGGUGAUCCCCCACACUGGUACUGAGACACGGACCAGACUCCUACGGGAGGCAGCAGUGAGGAAUAUUGGACAAUGGGUGAGAGCCUGAUCCAGCCAUCCCGCGUGAAGGACGACGGCCCUAUGGGUUGUAAACUUCUUUUGUAUAGGGAUAAACCUAGAUACGUGUAUCUAGCUGAAGGUACUAUACGAAUAAGCACCGGCUAACUCCGUGCCAGCAGCCGCGGUAAUACGGAGGGUGCAAGCGUUAUCCGGAUUUAUUGGGUUUAAAGGGUCCGUAGGCGGAUUUGUAAGUCAGUGGUGAAAUCUCACAGCUUAACUGUGAAACUGCCAUUGAUACUGCAAGUCUUGAGUGUUGUUGAAGUAGCUGGAAUAAGUAGUGUAGCGGUGAAAUGCAUAGAUAUUACUUAGAACACCAAUUGCGAAGGCAGGUUACUAAGCAACAACUGACGCUGAUGGACGAAAGCGUGGGGAGCGAACAGGAUUAGAUACCCUGGUAGUCCACGCCGUAAACGAUGCUAACUCGUUUUUGGAGCGCAAGCUUCAGAGACUAAGCGAAAGUGAUAAGUUAGCCACCUGGGGAGUACGAACGCAAGUUUGAAACUCAAAGGAAUUGACGGGGGCCCGCACAAGCGGUGGAUUAUGUGGUUUAAUUCGAUGAUACGCGAGGAACCUUACCAAGGCUUAAAUGGGAAAUGACAGGUUUAGAAAUAGACUUUUCUUCGGACAUUUUUCAAGGUGCUGCAUGGUUGUCGUCAGCUCGUGCCGUGAGGUGUUAGGUUAAGUCCUGCAACGAGCGCAACCCCUGUCACUAGUUGCCAUCAUUAAGUUGGGGACUCUAGUGAGACUGCCUACGCAAGUAGAGAGGAAGGUGGGGAUGACGUCAAAUCAUCACGGCCCUUACGCCUUGGGCCACACACGUAAUACAAUGGCCGGUACAGAGGGCAGCUACACUGCGAAGUGAUGCAAAUCUCGAAAGCCGGUCUCAGUUCGGAUUGGAGUCUGCAACUCGACUCUAUGAAGCUGGAAUCGCUAGUAAUCGCGCA
rnacentral:rRNA from 1 species